rnacentral:tRNA from 1 species
GAGGAUAUAGCUUGGUGAUAGAGCACUUGCCUAGCACGCAAGGCCCUAGGUUCAAACCUAGUACUUGCA